CACACCGCCCGUCACACCAUGGGAGUCGAUUGCCCCAGAAGUGGCUGCGCCAACCCGCAAGGGAGGCAGGUCCCCAAGGAGUGAUCGGUAACUGGGGUG
rnacentral:rRNA from 1 species